AACCUACUCCCUCCGUCCGGAAAAACUUAUCCUUCAAAUGGAUAUAUCUAGCACUAACUUGGUGCUAGAUACAUCCAUUUUAGAGACAAGCUUUUUUGAACGGAAGGAGUAUAUA
rnacentral:pre_miRNA from 1 species